GAUAGUACCAAUCCUACAACGGUCAUAUUGGGUGAAAACCAUUCCCUUUAAUUCCUCAUUCUGUCCCAUUCCAUUACCAUUGCUUGACCUUUGUUCCUCACAUAUUCUCUCGGUGUCGUCUUCAUUUUGUUCCCCACUCCAGCCAGCUGGUUUGUAAUGGCUCCGAUCAACUAUAUUGGAAUCCCUUUUUUCAAUGGUCCAGAUAUUAUGCAAUCCUUUCUGAUAGGUAACCAUUUUGAUGAGUGGGAAGCCAUAGAAGAUGGUCCCUUUGUGCCCACUUACAUUGUUGAUGGUAUUACUAAAUAAAAACCUAAAUCUGAAUGGACGAAUGAUGAUAAGAAAAUGGUUAGUGUCGAAAGGAGGGCUAAAGCCCUCCUAAUUCGUGCCUUAAGUUAUGAUCAACCUCGUCAUGUCUUCGAGAUAUCCAUGAGGGAACUGGUGAAGCUAAGAUGCAAACGAUCAAUUCACUAACUAUUGAAUAUGAAACCUGGUGAGAACAUAGACGAUAUGCAAAUGCGGUUUUAUGAUCUUGUUAACCAUCUUGCUUCAUUGGGGAAAAGGAUUCCUAAUGUAGGUAGACUUGGUCUACAAAGUUUUGAGAAGUUUGAGUAGGAAAUGGCAGCACAAGGUCAGAACUAUAAUGACAUCAAGAGAUCUCACAACUAUGCCCUUGCGUCACUUGUUCAUAGAGCUUGAAGAAUAUGAGGUUGAGUUAAAUAGAUUGGACAAGAAUGAAGAAAGACAUAUGAAGAAGAAGAAGAAGAAGAAGAAGAAGAAGAAGAAGAAGAAGAAGAAGAAGAAGAAGAAAGAUAGUGGCAGUGCAGUGGCGUCGUCAAGAAAGGAUGAUGAAGAAGUUGACAGUGAUGAAGAAGAAGAGAUGAACUUGGUUAUCAAAGAUCUUUUCAAGCUUCUAAAGAAAAACAAGAAGUCCUUCAAGCAAGGAGAGAAGGAGCGCCGGAAGAGAGGAUCCUCUUCUACACGUGCAACGCCCUGAUUCAAAAACUACUCUUUGAUGAUCUCUUCUUGGAAUUAAAUAAUUGAUCGAGUUAUGAUGGUGCUCUGACCUUGACAAGAUCAUAUUGAAGACUUUGGUAAUUGUUUUUUAUUCUUUUAGAUUGGACAUGUUAUGGAAUCAAAUGCAGUGGAACAAGAAACCUUUGAUCACUACACAUGUAUUUAGAUUGAAUCAGUAUGCUUUAAUGGUGUUAGUGUUUAUCGUCAAAUUGCUAAAUGCUGAAAGCGUAAUGCUGAUAAAUAGUCACUUUCUAGUUAAAGCUAGGGAGACAUAAUCCCCUAUAGAAUUUAACUUGACCUUUUUUGUCUUCAAAUUUCAUUCUGAUUUUCUGCUCCUGUUCAAUGAUAUCAUUUCAAUUCAUUGGUUUUGUUCUUCAUAUGCAUUUAUUUAUCAAGUGUCAUUGUUGGCUCUGGAUGGAAGAUAACAGUUAAAAUGCAAGUAAGCUGCUAUUAAAGGCAUGUGAAAGUAUUAAAAUGUGAUGAUUGGAGCAGCAGAUCAAUCAUUUGAAUAUUUAAUAUACGUUUGAAAAGUGGUAUGAAAAGAGGAACUCAAAGAAAAGAGCACUACUUUUCUGUUGAUACAGAACUGGUUUAAAUGCUAUAUUUCAUUGCUAGUCUGCAGAGGAGGAUCCCUCAUCUUCAGUAUUUACGACUUCUCCUUUUCUUUUACAACUUAAAUUAGUUAUAUUAAAAUAGUGUAAAAGUGAAAUCAAAAUACUGAAAUGGAUCUUUCUAUUAGAAGAGAGUAAUAAAUUAAUUGGAGACAGAAAUAUGAUGGAAGAUUAGAACAUGAAUCUCUAUAUUCUGAAAGAAUGGAAACGGUUGGAAAUUAAGAAGUCCCACAUAGGCGGAUUAAGAAAAACUAAAGUGUUUUUAAGUGGUGGACUGGAGAGUAUGAGUCCAUUGGUUAGGACUUUUGGAUCAUAGGCCUCCACACUUAAGAACACUAACUAAUUUUCUUUACUAGUUCAAUGAUGUUACUUCAAUUCAUCGGUUUUGUUUUCAUAAGCAUUUAUCACUUUUCUCAUUGUGGACAUAACUAAGUACAAGCUUUGCAUGCCACAUUUCUAGUCUGUUAAAGACUUGUGAAAGUAUUAAAAUGCUAUUAAAGAUUUGUGAAAGUAAGCUGCUGCUAUUUAAUAUGUAUUUUUUUGGCUUAAGCAAUUGAAAAGUUGCUGCAACAUACAGAUUAUUACAGAUGAAAAGAGGAACUCAAAACAAAAGUCCACUACUUUUCUGUUAUUUACUUGUCCAUAGAAGAGGAUGCCUCAUCAUGAACAGGUGACCUCAGAGAUGAUGGAAUAGUUUCUCUAACAUCAUGGCUUAAGUUUGAAAACAAGAACACAAAUUUCUUUCAUCAAAGGACUUCCCAACAGAAGAAGAGAAAAUAGGUGGACUCUUUCAUGAUUUAAUGGCAAUGGUUUAGUAAUACAGUGCUCCAAUUAGCUUGGUAUUUGUCAUUUUACAUGGCAUUCAAGCUUAUUGCUUCCACAAAAACAAAGGACGGUGGCUUGGCUUGUUUUAAAGUGUUAAUUGAUUCAUGAAAUAUAUACUAAAGUAUUCUUUUUGACUUGCUUUGGAAGAUGAAAUCUAAAAUGAUACAGAGUAAUGAAAUCCAGAAGAGAGAGAUUAGCAUAUUUUUUUUAGAGGCAGUAGCGAAAUACAAAAAGAAACAGAAGCUUUGAUGCGUUAUUAUGUGCCUAUGACAGUUUCAGAGUUGCAGGUUGAAUGAAGAAUAUUUGUCUUCAUCAUAUUAAAUUACAUAUGUUAGGACUAAUUAAGGUAAUGAGGGGUAUUUGUUACAUAAGUUUUAAAUUUGAAGGGUGUAUUUGUCUAUUUUUAUAACCACG